rnacentral:tRNA from 1 species
UCCCAUGUGGCUGAUUUGGUAGAGCAAGACGCUUGCAACGCCAGGGUUUUGGGUUCGAUUCCCACAGGGGAC